CGUUUGACUCCAUAACUCAUUUAUUUUCCGAAAGAGGUUAGUUGUCAAAACUCGUUACUUUUCAUAUAAAAUUUCAUGUACCGUUGCAUACGUCAUUCAUUUCUCAUUUUUGAAUCUGACAAUAUCAUGUUUGACGUUUUACUGUAUCAGUGAUCGUGAACAAUUCAGUCUUCGGCGUUUGUGCGGUUAGAGUGCCGGCUUUGUGAAAAGAGAUGGGUCGAUGUGUCGGAGAUUACGAUCGUGGGAAAGGAAGAAAGAGAAUUGCAAACAAAA